rnacentral:pre_miRNA from 1 species
UUGUUGAAAUUUUCAAAGUUUGCUGCUGCUGCUGCUAAAUUUUCAAAGUUUGCUGCUGCUGCAGCAGCAGCAGCAGCAAACUUUGAAAAUUUCAACA